GAACUAGCGGAGGAGGACGACGGCGAGAAGCCGGGCCUCAAGCUCUGGCUGCGCAUGGAGGACGCGCGGCGCGGGGGGCGCCCACGGGACAACCAGGCCAUCGAAUUCCUGUUCCAGCUGGGCCGGGACGCGGCCGAGGAGGUGGCACAGGAGAUGGUGGCUCUGGGCUUGGUCUGUGAAGCUGAUUACCAGCCAGUGGCCCGUGCAGUACGUGAACGGGUUGCUGCCAUCCAGCGAAAGCGUGAGAAGCUGCGUAAAGCAAGGGAAUUGGAGGCGCUCCCACCAGAGCCAGGACCUCCACCAGCAACUGUGCCCAUGGCUCCCAGUCCCCCCAGUGUCUUCCCCCCUGAGCCUGAGGAGCCAGAGGCAGACCAGCACCAGCCCUUCCUUUUCCGUCACGCCAGCUACUCAUCUACCACCUGCUUUUGCCCUAUCCAUUCCACGUUCUGGCCCUGGAAGUGACUUUUCCCCUGGGGACAGCUAUGCCUCAGAUGCAGCUUCAGGCCUUAGCGAUGUGGGAGAAGGGAUGAGACAAAUGAGGAGACCCCCAGGGAGGAAUCUCCGGCGCAGACCCAGAUCCCGGCUG
rnacentral:sRNA from 1 species